rnacentral:lncRNA from 1 species
UGUGUGUGUGUGUGUGUGUGUGUGUGUGUGUGUGUGUAUAUGUGUGAGAAAGAAAGAAAGAAAGAAAGAAAGAAAGAAAGAAAGAAAGAAAGAAACCAGACUAGGUAGCUGGAGAUGUGCCUCUAGCCUAUGAAGACCCCUUGAUCCUGCAAUCCACAGACCAAGACUUCCUGUAAGAGAAUCAGAAACCAGCAAAGGAGUAUAGCUCAGACAAGCACUUAAUUAGUUGCAUCCAAACACACUUGGCACAAGGUGAAAGUGGCCAGUUUCUAGCCGUGCUUAAAGCACACAGAGACAAGCAUACAGCUAACAGAGACAAGGCAGUCCUCAGAUUACAAUGUGUGUACUCAGUGUGUGCCAGGCAUUAGAGAGCACGAAUCUCUGAGCUGUAACCUCAAGCUCUGGCUAGAUCACAGGCAUCAAAACAGGUAAGCUCAGAAGGCAUGCAUCUUUGGGGGCAGUCUGACUGUGGGACAUCAGAGAGAGGAAUACCUGGAUGCCAUAGGGAAUGUCAACCAACUUCUGCUCUGGACUCAGAACCCAGUGUCUUUCCACUCUCCAUCUGUGGCAGUUAAUAUUGAUUGUCAACUUGAUAGGGUCAAUUAUCACUGUCUUAGUUACUCUUCUAUCACUAUGACCAAAAAAAUGUUUAUUGGGACUCAUGGUCCCAUGAUUGUUAUAGCAGGGAACAUAGAAACAGGUAGCAAGUAUAACACUGGAGCGGAACUGAGAGCUUACAUCCUGAUCUACAAGCAUUAGGUAGAGGAAGGAAGGAAGGAAGGGAAGGAAGGAAAGAGGGAGGAAAGAAAGGAGGGAAGGAGGGAGGGAGGAGGGAGGUGAUAACCUGGAAUGGUAUAGGCUUUUGAAACCUCAAAACUCACCCCCUAUUACACACCUCCUCUCCUAAGGCCACACCGCCUAAUCCUUCCCAAACAGUUCCACCAACUGGGAGCCAAGCCUUCAAAUACAUGAGCCUAUGGGGGCCAUUUUUAUUCAAACCACCACAGUCACCUAGAAGACAAACAAACCUCUUGGCACAUCUAUGAAGGGAAUUGUAAAUUAGGAUAGUUGAGGUAGAAAGAAUUACCCAAACUGUGAGCUGGAGACCAGACUGAAUUUAAAGGGACAACCUGAGCCCUGGCAUUUGUCCUGCUCCAGUCUCUAAGUGCAGAUGCACUGUGCCUAGCUGUAUCCCACGAACCAUAGCCUCACAGCGUGGGCCAGAACAAUGCUGUCUUUCCUUUUAAGUUGUUUCUGUCAGGCACUUUAUCAUAGCAAUGAGGAAAUGACCUAAUGACAACCUGCCACACAUUCCCAUUUGCUGGUCUACCUGAGGGUGACAUUGCUUACGAAAAAGUAGCAGAGCACGAUAUGGACCACCUUUUCAGUUUAUUUAUAUGUUCUUUGUCAGUGUGAGUGUGUAUGAACAUGUAUGGCAAUGCCUGUGGAGGCCAGAAGAGGGCAUCAGAGCUGCAGUUACAAGUAGUUGUGAACCACCUGAUGUAGGUGCUGGGAGCUGCACACUAGUUCUCUGCAAGAGCAGCGAAUGCCCUCAACCACUAAGUCAUCUCUUCAGCCCUGCUGCUUUGCAUUUACAAGAAAGAAAAUGUUGGGGGCGGGGACAACAAAACUGUCACUCUUUACUUUCCCCUUUGUUAAGAUUAGAAAAGGCUUGGGGACUCUGGGUCACUGUUUCUAAGUGCAGCUUCUUGUUUCUGUCUGCUCUUGCCCCUCUUCAUCUCUGCCUUCCGCUUCCAACCCUCAGGUCUUGGGCGUGGGAAAUAAACUCUGAACAUUGAGGUCAUGGGAUGUCUCUGAAGAACAGAUGUCCAAAACUUCUGGAACCUCUGGGAUACUUGCCUCAGGGAGAGAGGGUAGCUUCAAGUUUUUGGUUUAUACAUACCCGGGCAACCUGAAGAAUCUGGAAGAAAGCUUUCGUUUCCUUCUCAUUAAGGAAAAAAAUGCACCUGCACACGCAUUCUUGCAAGGUGGCUCAGCUAAUAAAGGCGCUUGCCACCAUGCCUGCUGACCCGAGUUUGAUCUUCAGGACCCACGUAGCCCAAAGAGAGGACUGAUUCCCACAAGUUGUCACAACUCUAACUUAAGUAUGCACACCACAGCACAUAAACACACACCAAGUACAGAGAUGCAAUGAAAAGAACCUGCCCGUGUCCACCUGACCCACAUUCUAGAUUGUUCUACCUCCUGCUGUGUUUCAUCGUGCAGCACCCUACUUUCAGCAUCACAUAUGAGCUUGCCAUCCUUGCCAUCAGAAUUGCCCAAAGGAAGCAGGCAGAGACUGGGCUGCUCUCUCUGGCCCAUCACUGAUGGCUCUCUCUUCAGGCACUCCUCACUAGGCACAUCCGGCAUCCAUCCAAACCGUCUUAGGCCCACUGGCCCUCCUGCCAUGGUGCUGUUGACAAUAACUAGAGAGGAGACCUGCACCUGUUCCUCUGUGGGUGGCGCCCUUUCUCACUUCUAGACAAGUGGUGGUAGCCAUGUCUCCCUGUAGCUCUCUCUCUGCCUCAGCCUACAGCCCGAAUUCCCAAAGACACAACUGAAAGGGUGCUUCUUAAUUUUUUUUUAAGUGAAAGGCUUUAAAAAUGGUAACGCAACUUGUAAUGAAGAUGAAAAACCAUUUCCUGCCCACCACUGUGUGCUCUCUUUCUCCCCCUCCCUCCCCUCCAUUGCCUCUCCCUCCAUCCUGCUCUCCGAUACAGCUUGAGCAAAUAUGUAUGGCCCUAGGGAAUACUGGAUGUGAGAAAGCUGUGGAGCCUGGGCUGAAAAGCAAUUAGUUGUCCUGGAGCAGUCUCCAAGCAAGCAGAGGCACAUCCCUGAGGUGAGGAGGCAGCGCUGUGAUUUAGUUCUGUGUUGGGUGGCUUGCUGACAGCAUGCUGUGUGUCCCGGACUCCCAGGAGAGGUGGCUGGCAAAGGCAGAGGCCACCGCUUGCCUUUGCAAUGACCCUCUGUUGGUGAGUAAGACUGAGGAGCCUGAAGUGGGCUGGGACUAUGAGUGUGUGCCUAACGUGAGCUGUGACUUGGACUUAAAGCAUUCUGCCCGCUUGGGUUUUUGCUGGACAUUGCUUUGUGUUUAAAAUGUAAACAAAACCAAACUUUGUUAACGGCAUUAUCUCCCAUACCGUGGAACUCAUAUGAUGCUAAUGGGUGGGUAUGAAAGGCAGGGUUCUGAAUGCUAAUAAAUCUCAGAGGCUCCACUGUAAUAGUUUAAGCCUUAAACGGCUUUCUACAGCACAGGACCUCCCAGAGUCUUCCCUCUGAGUGAUGGCUUCACGGAGGUAUGCAAUAGAGAGCCAUUCUCAAAUGUCUGACCCUGGGACAUCCCUAUUCAAUAAGGCCUUUGGGAUAUGUCAGGUAGAAAAUGUUUUGGUGUUGUCUAUAUGUUCCUGUUCCUACACUUUGAUAUUUUUCUUCUUUGCCUUUUUCCCUCUUUCCUUGUCUUUUCUUUCUUUUUUGUUUAAAUUGAGGUAGGACUCCAUAUACCCCAGGUUGGCCUCAAAGUUGCUAUGUAGCUAAGGCUGACCUUCAACUCCUGGUCUUCCAUCCUCUUACCUCCUGGAUGCUGGGAUUACAGGUGUGUGAUCUGACUCUCACUCUCUACUGCUCUUUCACAACAAACGACUCCUUGCUUUAUAUCCAGUUCUCUGUUAUGCGAUUUAAAAAAAAAC